UGCCAGCAGCCGCGGUAAUACGUAGGGUGCAAGCGUUAUCCGGAAUCAUUGGGCGUAAAGAGCUCGUAGGCGGUUCAGCAAGUCGGCUGUGAAAUUCCGAGGCUCAACCUCGGAACUGCAGUCGAUACUGCUGUGACUCGAGUCCGGUAGAGGAGAAUGGAAUUCCCGGUGUAGCGGUGAAAUGCGCAGAUAUCGGGAGGAACACCAGUAGCGAAGGCGGUUCUCUGGGCCGGCACUGACGCUGAGGAGCGAAAGCGUGGGUAGCAAACAGGAUUAGAUA
rnacentral:rRNA from 1 species